AAUGGCCAGAGGAUCCACAGGGAUGAAAGUACUCUGAAGGUAGGAAGAAUAUACACCUGGCAGAGUAAUGACCUGAGAGAUUUGAAAGAGCAGCCUGAGGUGUAAAGAGCCAAGUGUGGGUUGUGGAGGUCACUGCGGUAUGAGCCUGGGAUGCCUCAGCCUUAAAUGGGAUCAUCCUAGCUUGAAUGGGGCUGUGUAUUCCUUCUCCUGAUAGCUGCUGACACA